UACAGAGGGUGCAAGCGUUAAUCGGAAUUACUGGGCGUAAAGCGCGCGUAGGUGGUUCGUUAAGUUGGAUGUGAAAUCCCCGGGCUCAACCUGGGAACUGCAUUCAAAACUGCCGAGCUAGAGUAUGGUAGAGGGUGGUGGAAUUUCCUGUGUAGCGGUGAAAUGCGUAGAUAUAGGAAGGAACACCAGUGGCGAAGGCGACCACCUGGACUGACUACUGACACUGAGGUGCGAAAGCGUGGGGAGCAAACAGG
rnacentral:rRNA from 1 species